rnacentral:rRNA from 1 species
GUGAGGAAUUUUGCGCAAUGGGCGAAAGCCUGACGCAGCAACGCCGCGUGGAUGAUGAAGGCCUUCGGGUCGUAAAAUCCUGUCAAGUGGGAAGAAGUCCGCUCGACUAAUACUCGGGUGGAUUGACUGUACCACUGGAGGAAGCCCCGGCUAACUCCGUGCCAGCAGCCGCGGUAAUACGGAGGGGGCAAGCGUUGUUCGGAAUUAUUGGGCGUAAAGGGCGCGUAGGCGGCCAUGCAAGUCGGUUGUGAAAUCCCUUGGCUCAACCAAGGAACUGCGUCCGAAACUGCAUGGCUAGAGUCCGGGAGAGGGUAGUGGAAUUCCCAGUGUAGCGGUGAAAUGCGUAGAUAUUGGGAGGAACACCGGUGGCGAAGGCGGCUACCUGGACCGGAACUGACGCUGAGGCGCGAAAGCUAGGGGAGCAAACAGGAUUAGAAACCCGAGUAGUCC